CCCCUCUGAGGGUCGUACCUGGAGAGUUUCCAGUUCUCUACCAGUCUCGACUACGGGAGGAAGAGUCAAGCAGAGGCCUACCCAUUCCUUUCCUAGCUUGGGCAAUGGCUAGCGCGCGGAAGGCAAUCUGCCACAAGU